GCGGAAACCCUAAUUCAGCAAUCGGAGCUUUUGCCGGCCUUUGCUCACUGAACCCAACAGCCAUGGCCACUGCUAGGACCGUCAAGGAUGUCUCUCCUCACGAGUUUGUCAAGGCCUAUGCCGCUCAUCUCAAGCGAUCCGGAAAGGUUGAACUUCCGCCAUGGGCGGACAUUGUGAAAACUGCAAGGUUCAAAGAGCUCGCUCCAUAUGAUGCAGAUUGGUAUUACGUGAGAGCAGCUUCCAUGGCAAGGAAGAUCUACUUGAGAGGAGGUCUUGGUGUUGGGGCAUUUAAGCGGAUUUAUGGUGGAAGCAAAAGGAACGGAAGUCGCCCUCCACACUUCUGUGAAAGCAGUGGAGCCAUCGCCCGUCACAUUCUACAACAGUUGCAGGAGAUGAACAUUGUUGAUGUGGACCCAAAGGGUGGAAGGAGAAUUACUUCAAGCGGUCGACGAGAUCUCGAUCAAGUUGCUGGCCGCAUUGUUGUUGCCCCUUGAUCGAUCAAUUACCCGUUCUGUUAAUUAGAGAUUUGUGUUUUGCUGAUGAGAUACAAUUUCGUAUGCAUCAUUAAAAUUUUGGAUUUAGCUGUUGAAAGAUUUUCCAGAUGAAGAUGAUUACUCUUGUUUUCUCAUGGGUUUUGAAUGGUUA
rnacentral:misc_RNA from 1 species